rnacentral:rRNA from 1 species
CAGUCGCCACGGUAAUACGAAGGGUGCAAGCGUUAAUCGGAAUUACUGGGCGUAAAGCGUGCGUAGGCGGUGAGUUAAGUCUGCUGUGAAAUCCCCGGGCUCAACCUGGGAAUGGCAGUGGAUACUGGCUCGCUAGAGUGUGUCAGAGGAUGGUGGAAUUCCCGGUGUAGCGGUGAAAUGCGUAGAGAUCGGGAGGAACAUCAGUGGCGAAGGCGGCCAUCUGGGACAACACUGACGCUGAGGCACGAAAGCGUGGGGAGCAAACAGGAUUAGAGACCCCCGUAGUCCCUGUCUCUUAUAC